AGAGUCUUCUUCCAGCUUGGAUAUCGAUCAGGCCAUUUUACGCCUAGUUAAUAAAGAACAAGAUGAUGCUGAAAUAUUUGCCCAAUCGCUUGUGCAGACAUUUAGACGGUUGCCAAAUAAAAAAUUUCAGCAUGCAAGGAUUGAACUUCAAGAAGUUUUGUUUCAUCUAGAAUUUAAUACAGAUUAGAUACAUGCUCAAAUAUAUACUGGUUUGUAGUA